ACAAUGUCGAUCACAAAAUCUAUUAAAUCAUUUAUCACAAAAAAUGCACAUUCUCCUGCAUUUAUAUAAUGUUCACACGUUUUUACGCGUAAAUAAGACAUAUUAAUAAUUAUUAACACGUUAAAGGCAACGAUGUAAAAAAUUUACAUGUAAUAUAAGUUACAUCGUCGUAAUAUAAUAUAUAGAAUGUGUAACAGGUCAAUUAAUGCAGAAGAGAAGAUAAGGUAAUGAAAACAUUACCUUUACGCAUAAAUAGUAUGCUACGUAACCAUUAAAUUAAUUUAUCGAAAGAAAUAUCGAGGUAAAAUAAUCAUAAUAAAUUUACGAUGGAUUUAACGAAUUAAUAUUAAUAUUAUAAUUUUCCCAACACUUACCAUAAGAGAACUUUGAGCAUUGAAAUAUUGAUUAUUUUAAAAACAUCGAAUGAGAAUCAAAGCUCAUAUUCAAAUCACUCUGAUCAUAUGCACGUGUAAUCAUACGUAAAUGUAGAUGGAAAUAUGAAAUACAUAUGUAGAUGAAGAUAUAAAUUAUCUCAAAAAGAUAUACAUUAUAUUAAAAAGAUAAGGUAAAGAAAACUCCAAAUAAGCAAAGAGACAGAGAAAAAUGCUCACCGCCUUUUGAUCGCAGCGUAUGUGACUUCAACGACAGAUACGGACAAAAUAUGAACUAAAAGCUCGAUAGAUAAACAACUAUUGCGUCCUUCGUAUCAAUGUUAUACAUUUCUAUAGGUGAUAACCUAACGUCUCUCGUAUGUACAUUAUUUCCAAGAACCAUUAGGACAAACGACUGAACGAUGUAUUUGUCUACUUUUAUUAUAAAAUCAUCUCUCGAAAGGUCAUGAAAAUAUUUGAAUGAGUUACCGCUCCAUGCAUUUCCUUACGUUUGGAAUGGAUUGGACGAUCUCCGUCAUACAAGGGAGCCAUUAAUUACUUCACGUAACAAGCGCCGCAACACACAAAUGUUUAUCUGAAAAUCAGUAGUGGGGAUAGGAACUUCUUCUCUUUUGUCGCAAGGGCGCGCCAGCAUACUAUAUGAAACUUUUCUUUCACGAAAGAUGUCAACAACAACGUUUACGCCAACAGAUCAUCGAGGGAUAGAUUCUUCUGCGGUCGGAUGAGUAUCGUCCGAUGAUGUAUCGUCGAAUAACUCGAUUCAUCGUCGAUUCAUAUGCGACAAUAACGAAUAAAGGCUCAAAAAUACUUUGUUACAAAGUUAAAAAGAAAAUAGGAAACAACAAAUCGGUUUUCAUUCGAUUAUACUAUAUCAUAAGACAUUAGUUAUAUUUAUCUGAUCUAUUUACACAUGGUAUACUUAGGUGUUUUGUACUAAAGUUGAUUUAUCAUCAAUCCCCUUUUUUUUCAAAGAA